rnacentral:rRNA from 1 species
UACGGAGGAUGCAAGCGUUAUCCGGAAUGAUUGGGCGUAAAGGGUCCGCAGGUGGCAGUGUAAGUCUGCUGUCAAAGAAUGAGGCUUAACCUUAUCAAGGCAGUGGAAACUACACAGCUAGAGUACGGUCGGGGUAGAAGGAAUUCCUGGUGUAGCGGUGAAAUGCGUAGAGAUCAGGAAGAACACCGGUGGCGAAAGCGUUCUGCUAGACCUGUACUGACACUGAGGGACGAAAGCUAGGGGAACGAAUGGC